rnacentral:rRNA from 1 species
UACGUAGGGUGCGAGCGUUGUCCGGAAUUAUUGGGCGUAAAGAGCUUGUAGGCGGUUUGUCGCGUCUGCCGUGAAAAUUCGAGGCUCAACCUCGAACUUGCGGUGGGUACGGGCAGACUAGAGUGUGGUAGGGGAGACUGGAAUUCCUGGUGUAGCGGUGAAAUGCGCAGAUAUCAGGAGGAACACCGGUGGCGAAGGCGGGUCUCUGGGCCGUAACUGACGCUGAGGAGCGAAAGCGUGGGGAGCAAACAGG